GACUCCACCCAAAUUGCCUGGAAUGCGCUCGAUCUUGUCAAGUCUUGUAAGCUAAGCAGGUUUGAGCCUGGAUAGUGCUUGGAUGGGCGACCACCAUGUAUAAAACAGGUACUGUAGGCU
rnacentral:rRNA from 1 species